GACAUGUUGGCUAAAUUGGUAUAGCAUUGUGCUACGGACACAAAUAUUGUAAGUUCGAGUCUUAUACAUGUCU
rnacentral:tRNA from 1 species